rnacentral:lncRNA from 1 species
GAGGGAAUUAAGAGUUUAUUUAAAGAUCAUUGCUGUCAAAUACAUCUCAAUGACUUCUCUGAAAUAGUCAAACUAUUUUAACGGAAUUGGAAAUGCAGAAAAUCAAUAUAUUAUAUGUAUUAACAUGAAAUCCAUGGUUAUAAAUGUACACAGCCUCCUCAGAUGGAGUUUUCUCUCAAAGCACAUAAGUUUUUAAAGUAUGCAUACAGAUAUGAAAAAAUAAAAGAUCCAUUUUAGCCAAAUAGCUUCAGCGAUAUUGACCUUGCCACCACUUGAUGAAUUAAUGACAUAUUUCUUAAUGACAGAUUUGUGAAAGGAGUGGUCCUGCACCAGAACCCUUUGAAAUGCAUGAGAUCAGUUCAGAGGGCCAUCAAGACUUUGAAAGGACAGCAGAAAAAAAACAGGAUAGUCAGUCUGAUUACCAGGAAGGAGAGGAUGUCUGCUCAGCUUGUGGUAAUGUUUUCAGCUCUGAAGAAGCUCCCUAUUUAGAAGUAGUAUGUGCAGCAGACAGUACCCAGGGCCAGUUUGGACUGGAAGGAAUUGGUGUAGAAGGAGAAGAAAUAACAUCUCAAGCUGAGGCAAACUUUGAAAAACAAGGUUCUCUGAUUGCUGUUGCUUGGAGCAAACAAACAGAACAAUCUAUAGAUGACACGGUAAACUACAUGAAAUAGGUCUUUCCAGUAAAGCUAAUCAAAUGGUGUGUUAUUAACAGAGCUAAGCAUUCUUUCUUAGCAGUCUCCUUUUUAGCUAUUCAGGUGCCUGUGGCUGACAACAAAGUUUUUAAGAAAGUUUUUUAAAAAAUCUAAAUGUUCUGUUUUUUUUUUUUUCUGUGAUAAGGUAAAAUUAAUUCUAAAGCUAAAAGACUGUAAUGAACUACUGUAUACCAGCUCUCCUUUUUUACAGAACAAAC